CAUGUUGGCCAAGAUGAUCUCGAUCUCCUGACCUUGUGAUCCACCAGCCUCGGCCUCCCAAAGUGUUGGGAUUACAGGCAUGAGCCAUUGCACACAGCCAAGAAUGGAGAAUCUUUCCCAGUCCCAAUUUUAGGGGAAAAAGAUUUAAUAUUUCACUACUGAGUAUGAGUCUGUUGACUUUUUAUAUGGAACCCAAAUCAGAUUGAAGAAGUUUCUUUCUCUUCUGAGAUUGCAAAAAGUUUUUGUCAAAGUUUUAGGAUAUCUCAGGUACCUGGGAAGGAUCUCUCUCAGCUCUGCUGGCAGCCUUUAGGGUAUUACUUGUGGAGACCUGCGGGAAAGAGUUAUUGGGAAAACAGCCUGUUCAUUUCAUGGAAGGACGUUUUGGAAAAAUAGAUCCAGACCUACAUAGAAAGGUAUGACAGCUACCUUAAUUCAUCCAUCAAGACCUUUCUUCUUAAUUGUGAAUUACCAACUAUAGAUCAUCAGAGAAUUUAAGAAAAUCGACAAACUAAAUGCAAAGAAACAAGCUAAUGAAAUAGAACAAAUGACUAAAGGAAACAGAAGUAAUUCAAUGAACAUAAGAAAACUUAAAAAAUAUUCUAAUUACAUUCUCAGAAAGAUUUGAGUGCACACUACAUACAUUAGAAGAGAAAAAUAAAGGAAAAUCAGACUGCUAUGAAAACCAAGAUUCAUCAUUUCGCAUUUCUGUAACCAUGAAUGAGGGUGUUUGUUUUCUUAGAACUGUCCAUGUGGAACAUCCUGUCAGCCUCAGCUUUUUAACAAUCAGGAAGAAAGUCACACAACCACAUAUUUUCUGAACAUAAGCUGAACUUCUACUUCCAUGGAGUGAGUUACUUCACCUCAUUGGCAAAAGACAACAGAAGAGUCCAAAGUCUGAGGGGACUGGGCAAGCUUCUGUCACAUGCUUUCAGAAUGAAGACAAUCUGCAAGAAUUUUAAGUUGUGACCUCUACAGAGAAAAGAAUGAAAAGUAGCCAAAUCUCCACAUGAGAGAUUUUGGACUAUUUUGCAGUGUAAACCCCAUCUGAUUUAUAUGAAGUAAGCAGACUUUCUCUCCAAGAGUUCAAAAUAAAUUAAUUCUAAUGCUAAA
rnacentral:lncRNA from 1 species